GUCCUCCCACCCUUGUUUCCUUCCUUCCUAUCGCCACCACCCAGAACUCGAGAAGCUUCCCUCUGCCCGCCGCCGCCGCCGCCGCCACUGCUCGCCGCCGCGGUUGUAACUUGCCCGUGGCGAUUCCACACGCCAGCCUCUCGUAUCAUAUCAGCGCAGAAAUUUGUUCACAAUGGCCCGCGUGUAUGUCGGCAACUUGGAUGCCCGAGUGACUUCUGGGGAACUUGAAGACGAAUUCCGCGUGUUUGGAGUUCUGCGAAGUGUCUGGGUCGCGCGGAAACCACCUGGUUUUGCAUUUAUUGAUUUUGAUGACAAGAGGGAUGCGGAGGAUGCAAUUCGUGAUCUAGAUGGCAAAAAUGGAUGGAGAGUUGAGCUAUCUCGCAGUACCAGUGGUCGCAGUGGUCGUGAUCGGUAUGGUGGGUCUGAGUCGAAGUGCUACGAGUGUGGUGAGGCUGGGCACUUUGCGCGUGAAUGUCGUAUGCGGAUUGGUUCUGGAGGUUUAGGCAGUGGGAGACGUCGCAGUAGGAGCAGAAGCCGCAGCCGCAGCCCCAGAUACCGCAGGAGUCCGAGCUAUAGUAGAAGAAGUUAUAGCCCUCGUAAUCGCUCUCCAAGGCGCCGUAGUGUUUCGCCAGCUCGUGGACGCAGCUAUAGCAGGUCACCAUAGUGCAUCUGUGGCCAAGAUGGAUCUCCCUGUGCUAAUGGAGAAGAUGAUGUUGGCUACUGGCGUAGCAGGAGCUAGACCAGAAGCUUGUCUGCCUGUGCCUGAUUUGUGUUUUGUAUGAGAACUUGAUCCUUGGUUUUUCUGCCAGGAACAACUGUAGGAACUGUCGUCAACUGCAUGACUUCAGUUCAGAAGGCAUGUUCUGCUUAAACGACACGGCCAACUACGGCGCCCAGUUGUAUUCUUCAUGGUUUUGUUCCUCCAUUCUUGGCACGCCCUUACCUGCAAUCAAAUGUGAAUCCUCGAUUACUACCUGCCUACGAUGCCUCAUCGUUGCUGGCAUUCUUCACCGAAGCAAAUUAGUAACAUCCUUUCCCCAUAAAGCUGAUAAGGUAUUGAGUACUGACAACUGCAGCUUGCGAGAGCAAUAGACCCUUGAAUUCUUCACUCAUGUGAAAAUAAAUCUGCAACCGAGCAGUUUGGACAUUGGGAUGAAUGAAAUGUGGCCUUCAGCUGCAGCCUAGGUGGACACCAGAGGAAAUUGAUAAGACUGCCUUCAGCAGAAGGCUACGCCUUGGGCUGUGUCUGUUGGUGUGGUUUUCCGUUCUUCACUACUUCAGUCUUUACCUUCAAUUAAAUGAAGGUGUGUUCCCUGUGUUCUGCCUUCAUUGCAUUGGCGUGAUCGAUGGCCCUCGCAUGUGCAGCGAUGAGGCAAAAUAGGAAUCUGCCCCUGUUUAUGCUAAGUUAUUCUUCGUACCUGCAACAUACGGAACAAUUUUGCUACUUGCCACCGCAUUAUGGUUACAGUGUGUCACUAUAGUGAUGUAUAUUUGAUAAAUCGUAAGUUUGGGGUCUAGUUUAACAUAUUUGUGGAACUAGGCGCGAUAUAAGUGUAAAUUUAUACGUACAUAUUAAUUGACUCGCAACACACAAUGUAGUUAAAUCAAAUGGUUUAGCCAAACUAUACUUUUCUGAUUAGUGUAUGUUUUGAUUUAUGCUAGUGUCGCUUGAUGUUGUAUGAUUAUAUCAUCACUA